rnacentral:lncRNA from 1 species
UCUUACACUCUGCCUGCCUGGCCCAGCCAGGUCUUACUAUCUCUGCUGCCUGAUCUAAUCAGGUCUUACCUACAGAUGGCUGCCUGGCCCGGCCAGGUCUUAUAACAGAGUUUGGGCUAUUGGAGUCGCCUUGGUCUAUCCACAGCCUCAUACGCAUCGUAUUAUGCAAUGCAUCAUAUUCGUGAAACUAAUGCAAUCAUCCUACUAGACUCAUUAUGAUGCAUGAUAUAUGCUCAAAGCAGUUUAAAUCUGAAAAGAGAAGUUCCACUCACCUCUGGCUGACUCUGUACUAACUCUGCAGGUUCU